GACGAACGCUGGCGGCGUGCUUAACACAUGCAAGUCGAGCGACGGCUCCUUUCGGGGGUGUACGGAGCGGCAACGGGUGAGUAACACGUGAGCAACCUGCCCUUGGCUUUGGGAUAACCCGAGAAACUCGAGCUAAUACCGGAUGUACUCCUCUGGUCGCAUGGCCGGUUGAGGAAAGAUUUAUCGCUUCNGGAGGGUCUCGCGGCCUAUCAGCUAGUUGGUGGGGUAACGGCCCACCAAGGCGUCGACGGGUAGCUGGUCUGAGAGGACGAUCAGCCACACUGGGACUGAGACACGGCCCANACUCCUACNGGAGGCAGCAGUGGGGAAUCUUGCGCAAUGGGCGAAAGCCUGACGCAGCAACGCCGCGUGCGGGAUGAAGGCCUUCGGGUUGUAAACCGCUUUCAGGAGGGACGAAAUUGACGGUACCUCCAGAAGAAGCCCCGGCCAACUACGUGCCAGCAGCCGCGGUAACACGUAGGGGGCAAGCGUUGUCCGGAUUUAUUGGGCGUAAAGAGCUCGUAGGCGGCUUAGUAAGUCGGGUGUGAAACCUCCAGGCCCAACCUGGAGACGCCACCCGAUACUGCUGUGGCUAGAGUCCGGUAGGGGAGCGUGGAAUUCCUGGUGUAGCGGUGAAAUGCGCAGAUAUCAGGAGGAACACCAGCGGCGAAAGCGGCGCUCUGGGCCGGUACUGACGCUGA
rnacentral:rRNA from 1 species